UUUUUGAAUCUGGGGUCGAACAUGACGGCACCAAAGUGACCACUCUUGGCCAUAGGAUAAUCUGGGAUUAUGUUGUUUAUAAUAUCAUCUACAUGCUUAAGAAUUCGACUCCGGAUCAGCUCAAAGCCAAUCUCGUCGGGAUUCUGUUGCUCUU